rnacentral:RNase_P_RNA from 1 species
GAAGCACGCCAGACCGCCGCUGGGGCAAGCACCGAAAGGUGGCCCUGGAGGAAGGUCCGGACUGCACAGGGCAGCGCAGGAGCUAACGGCUCUCCACCGCGAGGUGAGGAUCAGAGCAACAGAGACGAGCCGAUUCAGUUCGGGUGAAACGGGCAAUCUCUGCGCGCAGCAACACCAAAUAGGCCGGCGUUGAUGUGGCCCGCGGAGCCGGCGGGUAGGUGGCAUUGAGCCGGGUGGGCGACCCCCGGCCCAGAGGAAUGGCGGUCACGCCGGGCCGGUCGCAAGACCGGCCUGGUGCACAGAAUCCGGCCUAUCGGCGCGCUUCACAC